AUUUGAGGUUAGAAUUUUCGAUUUUUUACAUGAACAUCCAUGCAACCAUCUAAGGGUAGGCACAUACAUAAAGACAUUUGUAUUGAAACACAUUAUUUGAGCACCACAUGAAAUUGUGUCAUAAAUCGUUUCUGCACCCUAACCCAAUCAAUCAAUUUAAUCCGCCCCAACAAGGCAGUGCAUCGAUUUGAUUGGCUUCGAUUUAUGUGCGCUUCAGGAAUCGGGCAAAAGCAAUAAAAAUCAAUGUGAAUCGACAAGUCUUACCACUCAUACAAGCAUCCCUGCCCACCCGAAUGCACCUAACACCCUAGCAACAAAUACAACACCUAUGAUAUUAUUAACAUGCAGAAUAAGAACAACAGUUCGAACACCGUUCUCACUCGUGUCUAGUGGUAAGGCGAUUGGCAACAACAGCAAUCGCACACGCACGCACAUAUGUAUAUGCACUGGCAGUGGUGAGAAAAAUGCAAUCUUUCUCCGUUACACAAAAGUAAACAAAACAUUGCACGAUUUUCUUUCGUUAGGAAAAUAAAGAAAAAAUAAAAAAUAAAAAGGCAAAAAGCAAAAUUGUUAGA